UUGGUAUUUAGAGGAAGUAAAAGUCGUAACAAGGUCUCCGUUGGUGAACCAGCGGAGGGAUCAUUACCGAGUUUACAACUCCCAAACCCAAUGUGAACCAUACCAAACUGUUGCCUCGGCGGGGUCACGCCCCGGGUGCGUCGCAGCCCCGGAACCAGGCGCCCGCCGGAGGGACCAACCAAACUCUUUCUGUAGUCCCCUCGCGGACGUUAUUUCUUACAGCUCUGAGCAAAAAUUCAAAAUGAAUCAAAACUUUCAACAACGGAUCUCUUGGUUCUGGCAUCGAUGAAGAACGCA
rnacentral:rRNA from 1 species